rnacentral:sRNA from 1 species
UAGGGUGCCACACUGACAGAAAUCUUUAGCCCCCCCCCCAUAAGAAGGGCAGCAGUGCCAGCCCCCCCAGUGCCCUGCCAAUGUGCCUCAGUCCUGUGCUAUGAGGACUAUUUUGUGACUUGGGAAAGGAGUUCAGUCUCCAUGCCUCAUUCAGUCCUUGGCCUCU